rnacentral:ncRNA from 1 species
CGAUCCGCGAGGAAAGGUCUGGAGGAAGCCGCUAGCAAAACUGCGAGCUGAUGAACAAGAACAUCAUACGAGGCGUAGGCUGAAGGCGAGUUGGCACCAGACGACAAAGCCACGUGAUCUAACGGCCACCGUAAAUGAUGCAAGAGCCGGGUGGUCAGAACC